UCUUUCCAUUGUGACUUUGCUCCGAAGCGUGGACACGGAGAUGGCUCUCUCUCAAUGUGUCCUAGGGAACGGCAGAGAAACAGUCGUGUAAACGGAAGGGGAUUAAGCAGCUCUCUCUCUUCCCCAUGGUUCUGCCUUCCUCGGAGUGUGACUUCAUCAAGCCAAACACGAUUAUUAAGAUAGGAGUAGAUACUGUCUCUGUGGCUCUGAGAAACUACUAACACAGGCAUCACACACAUCUCUCUCUCACUCCCACCCCUCACUGGUCCCCUCCCACACCUCUCCCACACCCCUCCCAUACACAGACACACACACAGACACACACACAGACACACAGACACACACACAGACACACACACACAGACACACACACACACACACAGCCUUGGAGUUUAGAAAGCACUUCUACAUUUUGGCUUACAACGCUAUCUCGUACACUCAGGCUGGAAGUUAAGUUCUUAGUCGAAUGUCAGGAGUUCCUUCUUUCUAGACAGACCACAGCUGUCUGUGGAGUGGGGAGUCAAGGGCAAUCUAGUUCAGCAAUGUGGGAAACCACAAGUUGGAUGGAGUUAAAGCGGCCACAUCAUCCCGGAUCUUAAAGUACUCCCUGUCCAAAGUGCACAGUGACUUCCCAGGAGGGAGCUAAGUGGACAGCAUUCCUCAGGUGUAGAAAACCCGACUUUAAAAGGAGCACUUGGCAGUGUCAGGGCUCCUUGAGUGACAAUUUAGGAGACAGACAGUAUUCAAAGUCAAAAUACCCUCCUUAUCUCAGGAGAAUUUCAAGAAACAGUGAAGAGAGAGAGAGAGAGAGAGAGAGAGAGAGAGAGAGAGAGAGAGAGAGAGAACCUCCUCUAAAGUCACAAAAAGCAGAGGGAACCCUCACAGAAACUGUACCUCAGCCUGGAGUUCAUCUUCCUGCCACAGCUGCCUCCUGACUGACAUCAGGUGCGUGUCCGGAUUGCUGUGGUUCUGAGCAACAGAGCCCUGGUCCAUAGUUGGCUGGGCCCCUCAUCAGAUCAUGACAGUGACCAUCCUGUAUGAAGUGGAAGGGAUCCCGAGUGGUGGUGAUGGUGGAGGUGUGACUGUGGCGUGACUUGCAGCCCUGACCUGCAGCCAUUGGGAGGCUGAAUAGAAACCAGUCCUUAGAGUUUCUGGGUGUCUCCUGGUGGUUUGCUUGGGGAAGACCUCUGUCAGAAUGCAAGGAGGGCAGGACAUGGCACCAGAGGAUAUCACUGACAUCCAACAGUGAGCAAGUUCUGAAACCUGAGGGGAAGAGAGCAACAGCUGUUGAGACAGUGGCUUCUCACAGGAGUCUCAGCCUGGCUCCUCCAACUUGAGGGCUUACUUUAAAGAAAGAGCAAGGAGCUAUGGUGUUGCCUUCCUUGAGGCUGUUGGCCCAGGCUGCGGGAUGGCAGCCUGCUCUGCCUUGGCGCUGUCCAGUGAUAACAGCUUUUUGGUUGAGAAGCUCUUUCUAUCAAGUGGUAAACCUAUAAAAUAAGAAGCAAGCCAGAAUUCUCUGGUCCUGUUGGUGCUGACGGAACAGCAAGAGGCCGAGUGAAGUACGGCACCUCUUACCACACAUCUCACCCCAGUAGUUUGUCAAAUAAAAUACAAGAUGUCCAAUUAAGUUUAAGUUUCAAAUAAACAUUGAAUACGUUUUGGUAGAAA